rnacentral:rRNA from 12 species
GUUGGGUUAAGUCCCGCAACGAGCGCAACCCUUGUCCUUAGUUGCCAGCAUUUAGUUGGGCACUCUAGAGGGACUGCCGGUGAUAAGCCGGAGGAAGGUGGGGAUGACGUCAAGUCCUCAUGGCCCUUACGGGCUGGGCUACACACGUGCUACAAUGGCGGUGACAGUGGGCAGCGAACUCGCGAGAGGGAGCUAAUCUCCAAAAGCCGUCUCAGUUCGGAUUGUUCUCUGCAACUCGAGAGCAUGAAGUUGGAAUCGCUAGUAAUCGC